rnacentral:lncRNA from 12 species
UUCAGAGGAGGACUGCAAAAUAAAGGAGGACUUAAGAAACAGCUUUGGUGGAGACAGCAGGAGAGAAGCCAGAUGUUUAGGAAAGACAAUCAGAAAUCUGCUCCUAUUUUACCAAGUUCCUCAGGCAGAGAAGUCAUAAAGAGGAGUAUGCAGGAAUAAAGAGGAAUUCAGAGGUAGGAAUUUCCUCUGAACUUCUACUGACUUCUGAGUAUCAGCAGAAGAUCUGCCUCUUUAGACUUCAGGAAUGUUGACAACUGCUGGAGAGGAAGAACUGGAACAGGGAUUGCAAGUGAGGUAUACACACAGUGUUCUUUGUUCUUGUUAGGCAGGAAUGGAAGACUCUUGAGUUUGCACUUAAGUGACUGCACAGGGUGUGAAAAGAGAUGGGAUCUCUGUGCUAGAGACGGAGGAAUAAUUGAUUCAAGUUCAGCUGAAAGUUUGGAAAUUACCCGGAUAGAAAGAAGAAAAUGGAAACCAUGCCACAGAAGGGGCAACAGCCCACAGCCUACAGUAAUACCUUUGUCCCAAAGCCAUAAAUCAUCCCUCCUCAGGAGCAGCCUUGGAGAGCAGUGGUUGAUGGAAGCUGGCUCUAAGGAGAAGUUCCCAGGUUGAAACUCCUCAUGGAGCACUUGGCCAUGGGUUGUGGAUCACAGAGUUCUGCACAGAACUGCUUUGUCACCUGCCUGUCAGAAGUGAACAGGAGGAGGAGACAGUGUGCACCCACAGGAUUGCCCUCACAUGUCAGGGAAUAUGUGGAGUAUGGAGUAGGCUGAAAGCAAGUGCUGCAAAUUCUUCUCUCCAAAGAAAUUGGGACAGCAAGAGGAAGCCUCUGACUUAAUAUCUGAAUUUCCCACUUUCCGCCAGGAUAAUAGCAGUGCACUGUGUUUUCCUUGAAAUUAUGAUGAAGUAAUAAUUCAGCCUUUUAUGUGGAAUGAAUAGAGAAAUGUGACCACUCAGUAGUUACAUGUUUAACACUCAGACUAUAUCAGACAGUAGCAUUGUUUUAAACCUGUAUGAAAACAUUCAGAUGACAAAUAAGUGAUGAUCAGAAGAGAAGUAGAUGUAACUUUUAAUUAAGGAUUGAUAUGCUAUAAGAGGAAAAAAUGGAGGAGGAAGAAAAUAGGUGUAAUUAUUAUUUCCAUAUUCACUGAAAUGUGUCCAAGUUAACAACUACUAAUAUAUUAUUUUAUCUUUUUUUUAUCGCAAAAAAAAAUCUGUGAGCCACACAGCCCUGCUGGUGAGUUCUCCAUCUCCCAGUGGCAGAUGAAGCUGCACCAGUAGAGUGGCUGUCAUUAGAAGUGGAGCCUGGAGCUAGGGCUCAAUUGAGGGUACCUGCACCAUGGCUUGACCUUUACUGCUUGUGUGCCAUGUUAGAUUAUGGAUUGCCACUUGCUGUGAAUGCACAGCUGAAAUCCAGUCUCCUGAAAAGGCCAGGGAUACCUUGAGAUCUCAGCUAUGAACUCUAUUCAUUGUGCAGGAAUAGAAAAUUCAAUAUAUGAAAGUCUCAAUUUCUGCAAUUUUUUUUUUUUGAGGAUGUAGAGCCCAAGCAUGUAGAAAUGAUGCAGCAGUGAAGAAAGAGAAUUAAAUGCUAACAGUAAUGCAAGAUUAAAGCUGGGAAGUGAAGGCUCAAGUAUUUGACAAAAAACUUUUUUCCUGUCCCCUUAUUAAAGUCUGUUAUGCUACUGCUGCAGCAAAAUGCACUAUUUAUAACAGAUAAAAUAUACAUAGAGGUCACAACACUGAUGUUACCUUCAAAUUUGAUCUAUUUAGUUACUGUGUUUUAAUUAUUCUCAAAGCUCAAAUUUUUUCCACAGAGAGCUGUGAUAUCAAAUGCCACUAUGAACUCUAGCUGCGUAUUUUAUUUGUAUUAUUCAUCCUAAUAAUAAGCUGUUGCUUCUUAUUUUAAUUAUUCUAGUAGGUGUUUCCUUACAGAUUGUGAUUUAUCUAGUAGUCUAAUGUCAUCUCUAGUUUAGGCCUAUCAACAAACUUGACCCUUACAGAAGGCUGUAUCAGUGAAUAAUAAACAUCUAAAGUGUUACUUUUUCACAAGAAGAGUUUUAACACUGGCAGUACCCAAAACCAUGUAAUAACGUGCAUUUUUCCUUCCUACACAGCUUCCUGCCAUAGAAGUGCCUCUGUAACUGUAGGUACAGGCUGCUUUUUCUAUUUUAAUGUUUAUCCUUAAAUUAUUCUCUGUUCUGCAUGUCUACAAAUAUAGGCAAAAUAAAAACUUAAUAGCUUAGUUUAAGGUCUGCCCUCUUAGUUAUUCUUACCUUGAGGAUCUACGGUAUAAAAUCAAGAAACUUCCUCCUAAAUGUAUUAAAGCAAAUCACCUCUAAGUCUGCAACCCAAAAUCAAGAAUUUAAAUCAGUCUGAAUGGAAGACACAUUCCCC